rnacentral:rRNA from 1 species
GAUGAACGCUGGCGGCGUGCCUAAUACAUGCAAGUCGAGCGAACAGACGAGGAGCUUGCUCCUCUGACGUUAGCGGCGGACGGGUGAGUAACACGUGGAUAACCUACCUAUAAGACUGGGAUAACUUCGGGAAACCGGAGCUAAUACCGGAUAAUAUAUUGAACCGCAUGGUUCAAUAGUGAAAGACGGUUUUGCUGUCACUUAUAGAUGGAUCCCGGCCGCAUUAGCUAGUUGGUAAGGUAACGGCUUACCAAGGCAACGAUGCGUAGCCGACCUGAGAGAGUGGUCGGCCACACUGGAACGGAGACACGGUCCAGACUCCUACGGGAGGCAGCAGUAGGGAAUCUUCCGCAAUGGGCGAAAGCCUGACGGAGCAACGCCGCGUGAGUGAUGAAGGUCUUCGGAUCGUAAAACUCUGUUAUUAGGGAAGAACAAAUGUGUAAGUAACUAUGCACGUCUUGACGGUACCUAAUCAGAAAGCCACGGCUAACUACGUG